UACGGGGGGGGCAAGCGUUGUUCGGAAUUACUGGGCGUAAAGGGCUCGUAGGCGGCCAACUAAGUCAGACGUGAAAUCCCUCGGCUUAACCGGGGAACUGCGUCUGAUACUGGAUGGCUUGAGUUUGGGAGAGGGAUGCGGAAUUCCAGGUGUAGCGGUGAAAUGCGUAGAUAUCUGGAGGAACACCGGUGGCGAAGGCGGCAUCCUGGACCGAUACUGACGCUGAGGAGCGAAAGCCAGGGGAGCAAAACGGGG
rnacentral:rRNA from 1 species